GCAGCGGUGCCCGACUGAUUAAGGCGAUUGACUAGAAAUCAAUUGGGUUGUGCAUGCACAGGUUCGAAUCCUGCCGCUGCG
rnacentral:tRNA from 1 species